GCCUGGGUGGCUCCGUUGGUUGAGUGUCUGACUUCGGCUCAGGUCAUGGUCUCUCUGGGUUUGUGAGUUCGAACCCCGCAUCAGGCU
rnacentral:tRNA from 1 species